GAUGAACGCUAGCUACAGGCUUAACACAUGCAAGUCGAGGGGCAGCAUGGUCUUAGCUUGCUAAGGCCGAUGGCGACCGGCGCACGGGUGAGUAACACGUAUCCAACCUGCCGUCUACUCUUGGACAGCCUUCUGAAAGGAAGAUUAAUACAAGAUGGCAUCAUGAGUCCGCAUGUUCACAUGAUUAAAGGUAUUCCGGUAGACGAUGGGGAUGCGUUCCAUUAGAUAGUAGGCGGGGUAACGGCCCACCUAGUCUUCGAUGGAUAGGGGUUCUGAGAGGAAGGUCCCCCACAUUGGAACUGAGACACGGUCCAAACUCCUACGGGAGGCAGCAGUGAGGAAUAUUGGUCAAUGGGCGAGAGCCUGAACCAGCCAAGUAGCGUGAAGGAUGACUGCCCUAUGGGUUGUAAACUUCUUUUAUAAAGGAAUAAAGUCGGGUAUGGAUACCCGUUUGCAUGUACUUUAUGAAUAAGGAUCGGCUAACUCCGUGCCAGCAGCCGCGGUAAUACGGAGGAUCCGAGCGUUAUCCGGAUUUAUUGGGUUUAAAGGGAGCGUAGAUGGAUGUUUAAGUCAGUUGUGAAAGUUUGCGGCCCAACCGUAAAAUUGCAGUUGAUACUGGAUAUCUUGAGUGCAGUUGAGGCAGGCGGAAUUCGUGGUGUAGCGGUGAAAUGCUUAGAUAUCACGAAGAACUCCGAUUGCGAAGGCAGCCUGCUAAGCUGCAACUGACAUUGAGGCUCGAAAGUGUGGGUAUCAAACAGGAUUAGAUACCCUGGUAGUCCACACGGUAAACGAUGAAUACUCGCUGUUUGCGAUAUACAGCAAGCGGCCAAGCGAAAGCGUUAAGUAUUCCACCUGGGGAGUACGCCGGCAACGGUGAAACUCAAAGGAAUUGACGGGGGCCCGCACAAGCGGAGGAACAUGUGGUUUAAUUCGAUGAUACGCGAGGAACCUUACCCGGGCUUAAAUUGCAGAUGAAUUACGGUGAAAGCCGUAAGCCGCAAGGCAUCUGUGAAGGUGCUGCAUGGUUGUCGUCAGCUCGUGCCGUGAGGUGUCGGCUUAAGUGCCAUAACGAGCGCAACCCUUGUUGUCAGUUACUAACAGGUUCCGCUGAGGACUCUGACAAGACUGCCAUCGUAAGAUGUGAGGAAGGUGGGGAUGACGUCAAAUCAGCACGGCCCUUACGUCCGGGGCUACACACGUGUUACAAUGGGGGGUACAGAGGGCCGCUACCACGCGAGUGGAUGCCAAUCCCCAAAACCUCUCUCAGUUCGGACUGGAGUCUGCAACCCGACUCCACGAAGCUGGAUUCGCUAGUAAUCGCGCAUCAGCCACGGCGCGGUGAAUACGUUCCCGGGCCUUGUACACACCGCCCGUCAAGCCAUGGGAGCCGGGGGUACCUGAAGUGCGUAACCGCGAGGAGCGCCCUAGGGUA
rnacentral:rRNA from 1 species